rnacentral:misc_RNA from 1 species
AAGUCGUAACAAGGUCUCCGUUAGUGAACUAGCGGAGGGAUCAUUACCGAGUCUUAGCGGCUCCUAAACUAUACGAACUUACUACGUCGUUGCUUUAGUGGGUAGCUCUAAGGUAAAGCCUACGCCCCCUAAGGGGGGGUAUUCGCUAUAAGCCCCGAGACCUUAUUAUGUCUUAGCCCCUCUAAGUCUUAUAGCGCGUAAGCACUUAGUUAUAACCUUUAAUAACGGAUCUCUUAGCUUUA